GAUGAACGCUAGCUACAGGCUUAACACAUGCAAGUCGAGGGGCAGCAUGGUCUUAGCUUGCUAAGGCCGAUGGCGACCGGCGCACGGGUGAGUAACACGUAUCCAACCUGCCGUCUACUCUUGGACAGCCUUCUGAAAGGAAGAUUAAUACAAGAUGGCAUCAUGAGUCCGCAUGUUCACAUGAUUAAAGGUAUUCCGGUAGACGAUGGGGAUGCGUUCCAUUAGAUAGUAGGCGGGGUAACGCCCACCAAGGCUACGAUCAGUAGGGGUUCUGAGAGGAAGGUCCCCCAAUUGGGAACUGAGACACGGGUCCAAACUCCUACGGGAGCAGGCAGUGAGGGAAUAUUGGGUCAAUGGGCAGAGCCUGAACCAGGCCAAGUAGCGUGCAGGGAUGACGGGCCCUAUGGGUUGUAAACUGCUUUUUAUAAGGGAAUAAAGUG
rnacentral:rRNA from 1 species